CCCUGAAUGCAAAGCCCUCCCUUCCUGAUUUAUGCCAUUGCCUAUGCACAGCUUCGGCUAGUGUGCCAACUGUAGCCCUUCCUCAAGAAAGCAGAUCUGGCCACGGUUACCCAUGCCUUAGUCACCUCAUGGCUGGAUUACUGCAACGCGCUCUACAUGGGGCUGCCCUUGAAGAAUAUUCGGAAACUUCCUUUGGUGCAGAAUGUAGCUGCCAGGAUUCUCUCUGGAACUGCUCACUCAGAGCAUAUUACACCUAUUCUGAAAGAGAUUCACUGGUUGCCAAUUUGUUUCCAGAUCUAAUUCAAGAAGAAGAAAUGUAAUCAAAAUAAAAGGAGCGAUAUAGUGAUUUGAUGAGGAUUCCCUCCAUCUAUCAUCCAAGUCAUUGAUUAAAAAUGUCAAAAAGUAUCAAACCCAGGGCAGAGCCCAGUGGCACCCCACUCGAAAUCUCCCUCCAGUUUGAUGAGGAGUCAUUGAUGAACACUCUUGAGUAUGGUUUCAAGACAGUUGUAAUCCACCUGACACAUUUUUAAAACUCUAUUUAAAAAUGAAACACAAGUAUGAAUUCAAAAAUAUAAUGUGUUUCUUCUCUGUGAUUAAUGUCUUCUCUCUGUGAUGGAAGCAGGACCUAUUUAUUUAUUUAUUUAUUUAUUUUAUACAUUGCAUACAUUAUGAAGCCGAGCAAGCUGGUUACCCAUAGAUCUUCGGAGUUUUCUAUUGCUUAGUUUUCCAUUCUAAACUUCUGGGUCUGCUUACUGCUGUUGCCCUCCUUGGCAAAUCAGCAUUUUAGAAUGCCUGCCUCUUGGAGUUCUUUAUUUUGCCCUCUUUGAAUUGUCUUUCUGCUAAUGCUUGAGGCAAGCAAGCGUAACAUAAGCCCCCAGGAAUUCAUAACUACCCUGAUGCUUUAGGGCUGGGAAGCAUCUCUCAAGCCAUCUGUUUCCAGUCAUUUUAAAAUGAGUUCUGAAGAGUCAAUUGUUUUCUUCGAGGAAAAAUAAACAGGCAGGCUGCUACCCUCCUGAUUUCCAGCAAUUUUCUGCUGUGAGUAGACGCAGUAGAGGAUUUUAGAAUGCGAGCCUCGUACUUGUCCAAAAAGUUUGGUAAUGUAAUUACCUCAUUUUAACUAACUGCUGCCUUUGGGAGGGAAAAAAGUGUGCAAAGUUUAUACAGAUCAUUGCCUUUUUCUUUUUUUUUUUUAAAAGGAUAAUACAAUACAGUCUUCCUUGAUAUGCCUUAAAUUCUUGUUUUCCUUGAUUAAAGUGUUUAAUAAU